GCGGGAACUGCAGCUCGGCCGAGCUCGGGGUUGGGGGGUCCCUGCCAACCCUGCCCUCCCGGAAGGUCCCAGCCUGGCGGGUUCGGGUGCUUUUCUCUCUGGGGCGCGGCCUCCCUGUUCUGCUCAGUUGGGGGUCCGUUCCCGGGAAGAACCACCACACCCCCCAUCCCGGCCCGCAGGCCCCAGCCGCCAAGUCGUUGCUGGGGAGGUGGGCGCAGGCCGCCCUCUCUCCGUGAGCCCACUCGCCACAACCCGCAGGGACCUGGGGGACUCGGUGGAUCCAACCACAGGAGACCAUGAGACACAGGCGGUCUCGCCGAGGCCUGCCGCUUAGAGCUGUCUCUCCUCCUCACGGGCCCCCUGGCUCCCUGCAGGCCUGGCCUCCUAUCUCCCUCAGGCCAUCAGCCCAGGGACCCCCAGCCCAGGCACCCCACCCAUGCUCUGAGCUGUGGGCCUGAAACCCGCCCUCCUAGCAGGGAGCCUGGCUGCGCCCCAGGCCGCUUCUGCUUGGAGCUCCGUGGAAGGAAAUGCCCUCAGGUUCCCAGGCACUGAGCCUCCCCUCCCGCUAACCCCAUCAGGGGUAUAGCAGCCCCGUGGUGCUCAGCCUGCCUCUCUCUGCCUGGGCAGGACCGUGGAGCCCAUGCGUGUCCUCUCUCCUGUCCCCAGAUGGAAGCCGGCAGGAAGGCGGCGCCACAGACUGAGGAGGCCCUGCUGGCCCUGGAGCUGUGUUCGGAGCCCCCACAGCCUGGCUCCUGGCUCUGGUUGCCGUGGGCGGGAGGUGGAAGUACAAGGAGAAGGAGUGUCCAGCAUUUUCACGAGUGCCACCGCCAGAGGUCAAGCUGAGGACAAGAGGGCAGCCAGGCACCACCCUGGCCCCAGGCAGACUCCCCAGGGCUCGCUGAAGGGCCGGCAGCCCUGGGCCUGGCAGCUCCCCUUGCAAGCCCCAGCUGGGGGCUCUGUCAUCCGGGAGGCCCUGGGCCUGACCUUCGCCGGCUGCCCCUGGGCCUGGAGGCAGGACACGAAGGGGCUGAUGGGUCUGUGGUCAGCCCCGAGCGCACUUUGCUGAGCUGUGGUCUUGCUGAGCCAGCCCACAGGCCCAGCGACUCCUGGCUUACUCAGCCCAGGCCUGAGGCUCCCAGGGAAGGCCAGGCCAGGCUGUGCAGGAACCUGCCUAUGGGGCUGGGCACCUGGCCCUCCAGGAAGGCCUGCCUGCGAGGAGCUGCUCUGCACAGGGGUCUCGACCCUCCGCUAGGCACCAGGAGCGAAGAGGGAGAGGCUUUGGGAAGGAGACACAGGUCAGGUGGGUCCUGUCUGGUUCCCGGCUGUGGCCUGGCUACGCUGUCCUCUGCUAAUGCCAAAGGGGCCUGGGCAUGGUCUGGAGGGUGUCCUGGCUGAGGCCCUGCUGAAGGGGUGAGGCAGGCAUCCCCCCCCAUCCCCACCCCGUCUCUCUACCUCUCUGUGUGUCUCUCUCUGACUCUCUCUGUGUCUGCCUCUCUCUGUGUAUCUCUGUCUUUCUCUGGC
rnacentral:lncRNA from 10 species